rnacentral:rRNA from 1 species
UACGUAGGGUGCAAGCGUUGCCCGGAUUCAUUGGGCGUAAAGCGCGCGCAGGCGGCCUUCCAAGUCCCGCGUGAAAUCGCCCGGCUCAACCGGGCGGGGUCGCGGGAGACUGGGGGGCUCGAGCGAGGGAGGGGGCAGUGGAAUUCCCGGUGUAGUGGUGGAAUGCGUAGAUAUCGGGAGGAACACCGGUGGCGAAGGCGGUUCUCUGGGCCUGUACUGACGCUGAGGAGCGAAAGCGUGGGGAGCGAACAGG